AGAGGCGGACGGGUGAGGAAUAUUUGGGAAUCUGCCCAUCAGCGGGGGACAACCCGGGGAAACUCGGGCUAAUACCGCAUACGCUCUACGGAGGAAAGCCGGGGACCGCAAGGCCUGGCACUGAUGGAUGAGCCCAAAUCGGAUUAGCUAGUUGGCGGGGUAACGGCCCACCAAGGCGACGAUCCGUAGCUGGUCUGAGAGGACGAUCAGCCACACCGGAACUGAGACACGGUCCGGACUCCUACGGGAGGCAGCAGUGGGGAAUAUUGGACAAUGGGGGAAACCCUGAUCCAGCGACGCCGCGUGGGUGAAGAAGGCCUGCGGGUUGUAAAGCCCUUUCGGUAGGGAAGAAAUCUCUUGCUCUAACAAAGCAAGGGUUUGACUUAACCUACAUAAGAAGCACCGGCUAACUCUGUGCCAGCAGCCGCGGUAAUACAGAGGGUGCGAGCGUUAAUCGGAAUUACUGGGCGUAAAGCGCACGUAGUCGGCUUGCCAAGUCGGGUGUGAAAUCCCCGGGCUCAACCUGGGAACUGCAUCCGAAACUGGCUUCUAGAGUAUGGGAGAGGGAGGCGGAAUUUCUGGUGUAGCAGUGAAAUGCGUAGAUAUCAGAAGGAACAUCAGUGGCGAAGGCGGCCUCCUGGACCAAUACUGACGAUCAGGUGCGAAAGCGUGGGGAGCAAACAGGAUUAGAUACCCUGGU
rnacentral:rRNA from 1 species